UUUGACAUCUGAUGUGAAGCUCUGACAAGUUGCUGUUAUUUGCUGGUUACGAGUCUUUUCUGUGCUCCUGUGGUGCUCUAUUUGUGUCUCCACUAUUCCAAUGCAGGAGUUGCUAUUGGUCAUCUGCCACUGGAUUAAAGUGGAGAUGAAUUGUGUUUGCAACUUGAUUGGUCUGUUGUUGCAUAGAUCGUGGGAAAAGUAGAUGCCUGUGUAUUCUGUUCUCAUUCCACAUGACCUGCUGUUUGGUACUCGUGUCUUCCACCUCAACUGUCUUUGGUGAUUGACAUUCUUGUCUUAGAUUGGUUUAGUGUUUCCAGUUUCCUUUCCUCGACAUUCUACCAUUAUUAUAAAAAAGAUACAAUGGCAUAUGUAUGGAUGUGGUUUCUUGACUUUUGCCAUUAUUAAAUUAAUUGAGCUUAAGCCUGAUCUACUACUCUAAUCAAUACUUAUAAAAAGAAAUCCUUAUAUUCAUUUUUUGUUUUUAAACUUCUUUCUCAAUGCAUCACUAGGGAAGGUUAUGAGUGAAAGUAGAACAUCAAGCCCUCUCUAAUGCCAAGUUGAAGUCAACGAAACUGAAUGGGCCAUGUGGUCGUAAUCCAAUGAUGAUAGCUAUCCAGGUGAAAGCUACUCGUGGCUCUCCUGCUGAAGAAACACACUAACCAAAUUCCCAGAAGGUAUUUCGAUGCAUAUUUUACAUUAUUAUUGUUGACAAUUGGAAUGCACAGUGUUAGUCUAAUUGCUUGCUAGUUCAUGUUUCUCGGAUUGAAAUAUUGGAAGCUGCACACUUUCCACUUCUGAAGAUACGCAAUUAGUUGUAUGUGCAAUAGUGUAAGCUGGAGUUGGUGUUCUUGUUCAUUAGAAAUGACAGUCCAGCCUCGAUAAAACUUGUUAGCAGUGGCAAGUUUGUGCUGGUAAUGGGGGUGAGAGUAGAUUGGUAAUAAUAUCGACUUCAAAUUCAUCGAGAAAAGGUAAAUCUAAGAGGAAAAGGGUAGUGGAAAGGUUUCAUUUUAAGCUCAGGCAAUCAAAGGCAAUCUCUCAAGGUUCAGUCUUGGAGGUGGUUAUCAGAAGCCAUGGUUUUGUCAGGCCAGAUUAACUCGGAAUCCGCUUGUUUUAUUUAUGUAUAUAUAAAAUAGCCCCAAUUUUAGGGUUCUGUGAAGUUCCCCUAAAUCUACAAAUUCCAUUUCGUAAUUGUCUUCUUGAGGUUCUAAUCUUGUUCCCUUCCGCUCUCAACCCUUUCAUCUUUCUCCAUCAACUUUCCCCAUUAUUUUCAUGGUC